AUUGAACGCUGGCGGCAGGCCUAACACAUGCAAGUCGAACGGUAGCACAGAGAGCUUGCUCUCGGGUGACGAGUGGCGGACGGGUGAGUAAUGUCUGGGAAACUGCCCGAUGGAGGGGGAUAACUACUGGAAACGGUAGCUAAUACCGCAUAACGUCGCAAGAUCAAAGUGGGGGACCUUCGGGCCUCACACCAUCGGAUGUGCCCAGAUGGGAUUAGCUAGUAGGUGGGGUAAUGGCUCACCUAGGCGACGAUCCCUAGCUGGUCUGAGAGGAUGACCAGCCACACUGGAACUGAGACACGGUCCAGACUCCUACGGGAGGCGGCAGUGGGGAAUAUUGCACAAUGGGCGCAAGCCUGAUGCAGCCAUGCCGCGUGUAUGAAGAAGGCCUUCGGGUUGUAAAGUACUUUCAGCGGGGAGGAAGGCGAUGGAGUUAAUAGCUUCAUCGAUUGACGUUACCCGCAGAAGAAGCACCGGCUAACUCCGUGCCAGCCGCCGCCGUAA
rnacentral:rRNA from 1 species